GUACGCUGGCGGCACGCCUAACACAUGCAAGUCGAACGAAGUAGCAAUACUUAGUGGCAGACGGGUGAGUAACAUGUAGGUAUCUGCCCUUUGGCCUGGAAUAACACGAGGAAACUUGUGCUAAUACCGGAUAAGUCUUUACGGAGAAAGCUUUAUGCACCAUUGGAUGAGCCUGCACUUGAUUAGUUUGUUGGUGGGGUAAUGGCCUACCAAGACUGUGAUCAAUAGCUGAUUUGAGAGGAUGAUCAGCCACAUUGGGACUGAGACACGGCCCAAACUCCUACGGGAGGCAGCAGUGGGGAAUCUUGCACAAUGGAGGAAACUCUGAUGCAGCGAUGCCGCGUGAGUGAAGAAGGCCCUUGGGUUGUAAAGCUCUUUCGUCGGGGAAGAAAAUGACUGUACCCGAAUAAGAAGGUCCGGCUAACUU
rnacentral:rRNA from 1 species